UGAGGAAUAUUGGUCAAUGGGCGAGAGCCUGAACCAGCCAAGUCGCGUGAAGGAAGACAGUCCUAAGGAUUGUAAACUUCUUUUAUACGGGAAUAACGGGCGAUACGAGUAUUGCAUUGAAUGUACCGUAAGAAUAAGCAUCGGCUAACUCCGUGCCAGCAGCCGCGGUAAUACGGAGGAUGCGAGCGUUAUCCGGAUUUAUUGGGUUUAAAGGGUGCGUAGGUUGUUCGGUAAGUCAGCGGUGAAACCUGAGCGCUCAACGUUCAGCCUGCCGUUGAAACUGCCGGGCUUGAGUUCAGGGGCGGCAGGCGGAAUUCGUGGUGUAGCGGUGAAAUGCAUAGAUAUCACGAGGAACUCCGAUUGCGAAGGCAGCUUGCCAUACUGCGACUGACACUGAAGCACGAAGGCGUGGGUAUCAAACAGG
rnacentral:rRNA from 1 species